UGGGGAAUAUUGGACAAUGGGCGAAAGCCUGAUCCAGCCAUGCCGCGUGUGUGAAGAAGGUCUUCGGAUUGUAAAGCACUUUAAGUUGGGAGGAAGGGCAGUAAGCGAAUACCUUGCUGUUUUGACGUUACCGACAGAAUAAGCACCGGCUAACUCUGUGCCAGCAGCCGCGGUAAUACAGAGGGUGCAAGCGUUAAUCGGAAUUACUGGGCGUAAAGCGCGCGUAGGUGGUUCGUUAAGUUGAAUGUGAAAGCCCCGGGCUCAACCUGGGAACUGCAUCCAAAACUGGCGAGCUAGAGUAGGGCAGAGGAUGGUGGAAUUUCCUGUGUAGCGGUGAAAUGCGUAGAUAUAGGAAGGAACACCAGUGGCGAAGGCGACCACCUGGGCUCAUACUGACACUGAGGUGCGAAAGCGUGGGGAGCAAACCGG
rnacentral:rRNA from 1 species